rnacentral:misc_RNA from 1 species
UCACCCCUCAAGCCUGGCUUGGUGUUGGAUGUGAUCGUCGUGAUGGACGAUCCGUCCCGAAGACAAUGACGGCGUCACGAAGUGCCCCGGUACAUGGAGCUUUCAUAGCACGUAUCGGUGUCGGCUGCGUGACCCGGCCACGGUGGACCAACUUGUUGGUUCACACUUCCACAA